rnacentral:rRNA from 1 species
GAUUAGAUUUUAUUUAUUAAUUUUAAUAUAUGUAUUUUAUUUAUUUAAUAAAAAUAAUUUUAUAAUUUUUUGUUUUAGUAUUUUUUAAAAAAAAAAUAAUUUUAAUAAUAGUUUAUUAGUAUUGUAAAAGAAUAUUGAAAUAAUUUGAAAAAUUUUUAUUUUAAAAGAAAAUUUAAUUUAUUGUACCUUGUGUAUCAGGGUUUAUUAAUUAAUUAAUUAUUAUAUUAAUUUUUCUCGAAUUUUAAAGAUUUAAUUAUAUAUAAAAGUUACUGUAGCAUAAUUAUUUUAAAUAUAUAAUUAGAAAUGAAAUGUUAAUCGUUUUAAAAUAUAUCUAGUUUUUUAAGAAAUAAAUUUAAUUUAGAUUUAUAAAUUAAAAAUUUUAUUUUUUUAAUAUUUUUAUUUUAUAAAAUUAAUAUUUUAAGGGAUUAGCUUUAAAAUAAAUUUUUAAAUUUUAAAUAAAAUAUUUUAAUAAAUGUAAGCUUAAAAAUAGUUAUCAUUAAUAAAUUUGUUUUAAUUUAUUUUAAAUUUUUUAUUAUUUAUUUUAAAAUUAAAUUAUUUAUUAAAAUAUAAAUUUUAAUUAUUAAAAUUUAUUAAUUAUGAUAAAAUUAGUAUAUAAAUUUAUAUAAAUUUUUUAAAAUGAAAGGUUUAAAUAAGGAAUUCGGCAAAUUAUAUAUUCACCUGUUUAUCAAAAACAUGUCUUUUUGAAUUUAAUUUAAAGUCUAACCUGCCCACUGAUUAAUUUAAAGGGCCGCAGUAUUUUGACUGUGCGAAGGUAGCAUAAUCAAUAGUCUUUUAAUUGAAGGCUUGUAUGAAUGGUUGAAUGAGAUAUAUACUGUCUUUUUUAAAUUUUUAUAGAAUUUUAUUUUUUAAUUAAAAAGUUAAAAUGUAAUUAAAGGACGAGAAGACCCUAUAGAUCUUUAUUUUUUUUAUUAUAAAUUAAAAAGAAUAUUUAAAUUUAUAAUAUAAUAAAAAAUUUUACUGGGGUGGUAUUAAAAUUUAAAUAACUUUUAUUAUUAUUAUACAUUAAUAUAUGAAUAUUUGAUCCAAUUAUAUUGAUUAAAAAAUUAAGUUACCUUAGGGAUAACAGCGUAAUUUUUUUUUAGAGUUCAUAUCGACAAAAAAGAUUGCGACCUCGAUGUUGGAUUAAGAGUUAUUUUUAGGUGUAGAAGUUUAAAGUUUAGGUCUGUUCGACCUUUGAUUUCUUACAUGAUCUGAGUUCAAACCGGCGUAAGCCAGGUUGGUUUCUAUCCUUAAUUUAGUUAUUAUAUUAUAGUACGAAAGGACCUAAUAUAAAAAAUAUAAAUUUUAAAAUUAAGAAUUUUAUUAAUAUUUAAUAGACUAUUUUGGCAGAUUAGUGCAGUAAAU